GAUCGCCAGAUCGUUGAGCUGCAUUGGCGGGAUUUCGCCGUCUUCGUUUCUCUUUCUUCGCGGACGAACACGCGCUGGGCCUGCAACGGCAGGAUCCAGGGUCCUUAACGGGAUAUGCGUUAGGGGCUUGUAGCUCAGUUGGUUAGAGCGCGCGCUUGAUAAGCGUGAGGUCGGAAGUUCAAGUCUUCCCAGGCCCACCACUUUCAUCGAGUGAGCAUUCGUCUUCUGGUUACGGGGCCAUAGCUCAGCUGGGAGAGCGCGUGCUUUGCAAGCAUGAGGUCGUCGGUUCGAUCCCGUCUGGCUCCACCAGAUGGUUUGAUCACCGAGAUCUCAUACUGUCGUCCGCGAAACAUCACUUCGCAUCCUGCUAGUCUGGAUAGACAGCAAGAUGCGUGUUUUCUGACAUCGUAAAGAGGAGAUCGAUCCGAGUUGGGUCGUGCAGCAGAUUGUUGCGCGAAUCCUUCAUUAUCUCCGGAUCAUUUUCGGCGCUUGCUUCCAGCCGUGAGGUUGGAUGCAAGUUGUAAAAUGAUCCUUUUAGCGAAGCUUGACCGCCUCGCUAUCGGAACGAUCUUACGAAGCAAGCUGGUCUUUCUAGUCAAUGUCCGGCUGUACGUAGCAUUCAUCGAGGGUGCGCGCCGCAAGGCAAUCGUACAGACAACAUUCUGCCGAGUGUGUGGACAUUGAUAAUGAGAGCAAUCAAGUGCCUUAAGGGUGUUCGGUGGAUGCCUUGGCGCUGAGAGGCGAUGAAGACGUGCUACGCUGCGAUAAGCCGUGGGGAGCUGCGAAGAAGCUUGAUCGCGGAUUUC
rnacentral:misc_RNA from 1 species